GAUGAACGCUAGCGGCAGGCUUAAUACAUGCAAGUCGAGGGGCAGCGCAGUGUAGCAAUACAUGGGCGGCGACCGGCAAACGGGUGCGGAACACGUACACAACCUUCCUACAAGUGGGGAAUAGCCCAGAGAAAUUUGGAUUAAUACCCCGUAACAUAGCGAUGUGGCAUCACAUUGCUAUUAUAGCUUCGGCGCUUGUUGAUGGGUGUGCGGCUGAUUAGAUAGUUGGCGGGGUAACGGCCCACCAAGUCUACGAUCAGUAGCUGAUGUGAGAGCAUGAUCAGCCACACGGGCAAUGAGACACGGGCCCGACUCCUACGGGAGGCAGCAGUAAGGAAUAUUGGACAAUGGACGCAAGUCUGAUCCAGCCAUGCCGCGUGAAGGAUUAAGGUCCUCUGGAUUGUAAACUUCUUUUAUAAGGGACGAAAAAAGGUCUUUCUAGAUCGUCUGACGGUACCUUAUGAAUAAGCACCGGCUAACUCCGUGCCAGCCGCCGCCGUAACAC
rnacentral:rRNA from 1 species